rnacentral:rRNA from 1 species
GCCCUAAACUUAAGUCGUUAAACAACAAAACUACUCACCAGAGAACUACUAGCAACAGCUUAAAACUCAAAGGACUUGGCGGUGCUUCACCCCUCUAGAGGAGCCUGUUCUAUAAUCGAUAAACCCCGAUAUACCCCACCAUCUUUUGCCACUACUGUCUAUAUACCGCCAUCGUCAGCCAACCCUAAAAAGGAGUAACAGUAGGCACAAUUAUCUCUCAUAAAAACGUUAGGUCAAGGUGUAGCCUAUAAGAUGGAAGGAGUGGGCUACGUUUUCUAAACUAGAACAUACGAAAAACCCUAUGAAACUAGGGUCCCAAGGAGGAUUUAGCAGUAAGUUGAGAAUAGAGAG